rnacentral:lncRNA from 1 species
AAUUAACACACAUGCUAAAGCCGAGAUGGCUCACACUUGCUUGGGUUUACUCAUACCCAACAGUUGUACCUGCUGAGAGUAUUUGAAAACUUUCUGGGGUUCAUAUUCCUCCCAGAAAAUUAUAGAAUUUGGGGAGGUUACAACACUUGAUUUGUUAAAAUAAUUCCUUCUAUCCAAAACAGGGGUUCCUGAUUGUUUCAAAGAUGUGCUUUGGCUUGUAAGGAGAAAGAUCUACAGAAAGCUUUCACUCUGACAGGGAAGACAUCUCUGUCAUUGUCAUUUAUUCGUAAGUCUUGCCUUCAUGUAUCACAACAAAUACCCACAGCAUGAUUUCAGGCUUCCAUAGCCAACCAGAAAAGAUUUCCAAGAAUCCUGGUUGCAAGCUUCAGAUCAGCUGGGAUGAAAAAUGUAAAAAUUACUUCAGACCAGUCUACUUUUAUAAUAUCUUCAAUGAAAUAAAAAUUAGAUAGCCUUGAACUUCUAAAAUUUUAUUUGAACACACAUUAUGAGGACAAAGUGGCAGCAGCUUGCUUCUUCUAUCUGCUUUUGAUCCAUUUCUGGCAUCUGUCAUGAAUAUAACUCUCAGUCACAACUGAUUGAAGCACUGGUAUUAUGGAGUGACUUCAUAGAUUCACAAACAAUAAAAAGCUAUUUCUAAUGGCGCUUGGUGAUAAUUUUGUUAAGAGAUAUUCAAAGGUUGCUGUUAAGACUUGUUUAUUUUGAAUUGUGAAAUAAAUGAACACAUUUCCGAGAACUCUUUAAAUAUUAACAAUGAGAAUGCUUUGGUGGUUUUAAAUUAUCUUCUGCUUGACAGUGCCAAAGCUACUUCCUGAACAUCACAUCAGAUCAUUCCUGACCCCAGGGUUCACCCGUUUAUACUAAAAUUAUCAAAUCUUACAACUUAAAGAAACAUGAAGAAAUGUUAAAUUCAAUGCACUUACUCUAAUGAAUUCCUUUCUAUAAUGGGAAUAUUUCCAGUCAAUUAUGUGUAGCUAAAAUGGGUAGUGGCUGUUAGAGAAAGUCUUUUCAAAUAUUUUUCUUUGAUUCAUUCAUCAAAUAUUUAUUGCAUGCAUAUCACAUGCCAGGCUCUAUUUUUGUUUAUCUUGCCUUAUUUAUCUAAAAUUAAUCAACUGAGAAGGUGAAAUGUUUGUCUCACCAUCCACUUGCCUUAUUUUUUCAUGAGGCCAUUAUUGUA